GGUCUGGUGGUCUAGUGGUAUGAUUCGCGCUUAGGGUACACCCUUAGCUUAGUUUGCGCGAGGUCCCGGGUUCAAUCCCCGGCCAGACCC